GAAGAUGGGCACAACCGAAUACCAGCCGGGCGCAUGCUCACAAGUCCGUAAAGGUGAUGGCACCGCAACCCUCUUUCCUCCCCGUUUGAGGAUUUCUAAGCUACCGCGAGAGAAAUAGAGAGAAUGGGGAGUGAAAGUCGGAGCACCGCCGUUGUAGCCGCAUACUGGUGUUUGCCGCAAACGGGUCCGAUCGGGAGUCUUCAUCAGAGAGCGGUGAAGGUUGCAGCGGUUCCGGUGCUGGGAGAAGACCACUGGGGGCCAUGAGAUUUCUCACCAGAGCCAGGGAAGGGCCACCGGCCGCACCACGCCGUGGCCAAACAUCGUCGCGUCAUCAUCGUCGGUGAGUCCUCGUCGAUCAAGCUCGCUUCGUCCCUCUGCGUGUAGAGUAGACUAGAACAUGGUUUGGAGCCUGACGUGCUGGAUUGGGCAUUCCGUGCAUGGCGCCACAGUGGAUGGAAGGGCGCCGCCGCCCGGUGCCGGCUAUGGGAGGAGAUGCGAAGGAGACCUAAUCUUAGGAAAAAAACAAAACUAUUUUUGUAGGUAUCUAUAUGCUUGAAUGUUUGUUCUUAUGAUACCUGUUUGAUUUGGUUCUUUGGUUGAGUGAGAUGGGUUAUGGAGUAAUAUACACAAUUGCAUAUGCAUACACAUAUAGACAAAAAAAUGUUUAUAAGAUAAUUAGACAACCUAGAUUAUCCUCCAUUCAAAUGUAUCUAGCGUCACAGAUCCCUCUUAUCUUAACAGAUUCUAUCUUAUCCUUGGAGAUUCAUCUUAUAAACAUAGUUAUCCCAACCUAGACACAACGCCGCCAACCAAAAUUCUUUCUAACCUCCUUCAGCUGGGAACCAACUACUAGGCUAUCUGUUACAUCUACUAAAUUAUUUCUCUUGCAAAGUUAUCAUACCCUAUGUCUUUAACCCAGAUGGUUAAUACCAGGAGGGGAGGAGGUGUCGACUAC
rnacentral:lncRNA from 1 species